CUGGAAAGUGCAUUUUUUAUGUAUCCCCCGAACAAAAGUUCAAUAUCAUACAUUCAGAUGCCAAAAUGCCGAUUUAUGACCAAAAUGACAACGAAAUGGAUAUUCAAGUGUUUCGUGUUUUCACGAACAAAUAGCAGUUUUAUAAGACCAAAGUGUCGUCAGAGUUCUAUUUCACUUGUUUUCCGAACAAAAAUGUCAUUUUCAGUGAAAAUAGAGCAAGUUGGAAAAUUCACUUCAAUCCGACCUAUUUUUCGACCAUUAAAUGCCUCAAAUCGCAUCGUGACCACUUUUAAUCGAUUGUAAGUCGAAAAUUGAGCGGAUAUGGUCUUUCGUGAGCCUUUUUCAGCCAGUAGAUGCGUAUUUUUGGCAGCAAUUUCAUCGUAGAAUGUGACUCUUCGUACAAAUUCCGUUCAUUGAUGAAUUGCCUAUGCCCAGAACUUCGAAAUACGAAUUUUCCCGGAUAUAUGGCAUAUGCCAUUUUGUUGGUAUGGUAGCCGGCUACAAACGCUCAGUUUUUGGUAAAACAUUGUCGGGCUGAUUUUUGAGAAAUCGCCUUUGGCGUGAAAUUUAAGGGGGUCGAUUUUUCAUAAAAAUCGACUUUUUUCUUUUAUAUCACAUAAACAUUGGCAUGUGUGUAUGGAACUUUUUGAAGGUCGUCUCAAAUGAUAUCGAGCUGACUUUGCCCAAUUGGCGUCUGAGUUGAUCUAGUGUGCGAAAUAAAUACUUGGAAAAAUCGUAUACAUGCAGGCUAGCGAAGCCAUAGCCAGCUCUCCUGUAAUGCAAAUGUCAAUCUGAGGACGGGUUUCGAUGUGGCCCGACACCAGCUACAGCUUGGGCAUAUCGACACCGAAAUCUGUGGGGGUCAUAAAAAUUCAUGGACAAACGGGGACACGCACAUCCAAAUCAAUACUUUCAUAAAAAAUCAAGAUCAAACUGCCAAUGCCCAUAACUUUUUCGUUUUUGGACCAAUCAGGGCACUUAGACCGCCGUUGGACAGGUGGUGAGGAGGAGCUUCUCUUGGACACCUCAGACAACCCCCUGGGUACCCCCUUUGUAAGAUAUGGGUAUAGAUUUGAAAAUUUAUCGAAAUUUUCCAACCGCUAUAUUUUUGCCCAGACCACACUUUAGGCAUGGGGGAUAUGCAGUUUCCGACUAUUUGGGCCAAGACCUUUCCAACGGUACCUAACAUGCUGGGGCCCAAAUAGUGCCCUGAGAAAAUAGCAUACUUACUGUAUAAUAUACUCGUGACGCAAAAACUGGCAUUUUUGAUAUUUGGCUUGAAAUGCACAGUUGUUGGAGCGUCACUUGUCGGACUAUCGUCCUCCGUGAUAUUAAUAUAUAGUUAUUACAAAAAGCAUGUCACAAAAUGACUUUUUUUCAUUUAAUCAAGCCAAUUUUUUUUAAUUCAGUCCAAGGAGUUGUGAAUUUCCGUAGAAAGCAUUCUAUUUUCAAAUAAAUUGGAAAUUAUCAUAAAGCUUUUUUCAGCCCAUACCAUCUACAUGCCCGGAAGGUUUUAAGCUCAUCGUAAAACUUUGUUGGAGCGUGAAACCACGAAAUCGCCCAUCAUUCAAAAUUUUAUUGAAUCACUUAGAAAUUGCCGGACCAGAAUUACUGAAGCAAUCUGAACAAGAAUAUUUCGAAACACAAAAAUCGUGGAGAGAAGAAGUACGAUCACACGUAUUGCGAAUCACUCAAAACGGCACGAAUAUUCAUAAAUUCGAGCAAGAUUUAAUAAGGAAACGGACAGCCGAAUGGAAACAUGCCCAAGACAUACGCUUAAUUUAUCAAGAAAAAUUAGAGAAAACAAAUAAACUUUUUGCUGAACUAACUGAUCUAAUGCUUUAUCUGCAAGAACGUGAACGUGAAAUCGUGAAAUAUUUAUUUUUGUCCAAACACUAUCCAAGGGAAUCACUGGAUCUGGUGAACGGAUUAGAAUUUAUUCAGGCGAUUUAACGCGAGGUGGCUCUGGCGGAGAUUUAACUAUAUGUUCGUAAAUUUUGCAAGCAUCGGUUCGGAUAUAGAAAUAUGCAAGAUAAUUAUGCAAAGCAUAGACGCGUACGGACGACCGUGCGACGAACGUAUCAACGGGCGAUCGUGCAUUGCGAGACGUGUGUGUAUGAAUACAGUAUACAGCAAACAACGAUGGCUCUGGUGAUACGUCCAUCGCACGGUCAUCCGUAUGCGUUUAUGCUUUGCAUAUUUAUACAGUAUAGAACAUCUAGGUAAACAUAUUUCUAUGUCCGAACCGGUGCUUGAAAUUUUGUGAGCUGGAAUUGGACUGGCACUUGAUAGAGAUGUAACGCCAUCUUUAUCCGUGUCAUCUUCAUCUAAAUAGGUGGGAAAAUCAAUCAAAAGAAGAACACAAAUUUUCAAUAGAAUCAUUUUGCACGCCGGUAGGGAUAAAAAAAAUAAAAGAUUCGUUUCACGUCGCAACAAAUGUAUAUAUAUAUGAUGAAUCCAUGCGCUUGGAUGGAACAAAUCAAAUAAAACCAAGAAAACUAAAAUUUUGAAACACAUUGUCUUUGCCACAUAAUUCGCAGUCUUUGGUUUCUGUGUUGUAUUGUAUUGUGGAUGUAUGUCGUCAAUGUAUAGUUUUACAUUUUCGAUAUGUUAUUAAUAUGUUAAUAACCAAAAUAUCGGAAAAUUUCUAGUAA